rnacentral:tRNA from 1 species
GGCUUAGUGGCUGAAUGGUAAAGCGCUCGGCUUCCUAACAGAGGGCCUUCGGGUUCGAAUCUCGGUUAAGGCU